ACUAACAAAAUACUCGAAGCUCAUUCCUCAUUCUCUCAAGUUUCGACAGCGCCUUACUCUCUCUCGACACAGACACAGACACAGACACAGAACCCAAAACUCCUCACUCUCUCGACAACGUCUCCCCAAAACCAAAACUUCACUCUCCCAAACCCGCACUCCUCGCUCGUGCCUUACCUUCAAACCAAAAUCAGUCUCUCUAACCAAUUGACGGCUUGAUAUCAUCAUGGCAAAGGCUGUUCUCCCUCACCAUCUUCGGUACCAGCCCCUCAAGGCCAUCACCGGCCAUAAUCCAAGCGGUCGUCAUCCUCUCCGUCGAUCUGAGGGCAUGCCCGGCAACCGCUACUACACCGCCGUGUUCCAGCCCCACGACCGCAUCAUGGGCUCCCCUCCGGCUGUCACUUGACCCAUGGUUACUACACCUCCGGCAGGAAGAAGAUCUCGGCCACCUCGAUCUACUUUGAUAGUCUACCCUACAAGGUGAGUUCCUCCACUGGGUCAUUGAUUACGACAAGCUGAAAAGAAGGCCUUGGAUUGGUACACAUUCACGAGCUCCAGCUCCAGUUCCGCCAGAAGACCCACAAUCUCAAUCGACUCGAGGCCCAGCGGAUUGAGCUCAAUUCCAGAGGUUUGCUUGUUCAAUGUUUAUGUUUUGAACAGUGAGAAUUGGUAAGAAUGCAGAGCAUUGGUAAUUGCAACUGCUUUAGCAUACUCCCAUUGUGACAUUACAUGUAGAUGAUAAGAAUAUUAACGCAUAGGCAAUUGCAACUGCUUUGGCAUACUUGUAUGGCCACCACCCCAAGCUCAGUGAUACCAAUGCCUUUCGUGUUCUAGCUGCUGCUUCUUUUCUUGAUCUUCAGGUUUGCAGAUCCGUGAAAUUUCUAGUUGGUGGUGCUUCCUUGAAGGUCUUCCAUGAGAUGGUUAGUGCUGGAGUAGAACCAAAUGUUCACACAUAUGGGGCACUGAUUAAUGGUUGUGGCAGAGCUGCGGAAGUGGCAAAGGCAUUUGGUGCUUAUGGGAUAUUGAGGUCUAAGUAGAAAGUGAAGCCAGUCUGAGUUGUAUUCAAUGCACUUAUUACUGCAUAUGGUCAAUCAGGAGCAGUUGACCGCGCUUUUAUUGUCUUAGAAGAAAUGAAGGCAGAGUACAGCCUAUAGAACCUGAUCACACAACUGGGAUAAUGAAGAUGAGCUCGACAAGAUUGAAAAUUUCACUUUAUCUUCUUCUUCAGCUAAUCUGGGCUCUGUGGAGGCUUUGGAUAAAUCGAAGUAUAUGGAUGGCCUUCGAGCAGUAAGGAAGCACAUUCAGAAGCUGGAACAUGACCUUGAGUUGCUUAAAGCACAUGCUAAAACAAAAGUUGAAUUUAGUUCUAAUGCUAUUGAAGAAACUCCUGAAGAUAUUGAGAGCGUUGAGUCUGGGAGCUCCUCAAACCCCAAUGAGGCCAUGAGAACAGCAAAGCUAGACACUCUUAAGUAAAUUUCUGGAUGUAUUUUACUAGGAGAGUACUACUAGAUAUACUCCUUUUGUGGAUAAAAGAUUAUCUUUGCACAAUCCAUUUUGGUGUAUGAUGUGGAUUAUAACAAUUUCUUCUAUAUAUAUAUAUUGAUAAGUUAAUUUGGUCA